AUGGGGGACCCACCCUAUAAAGAAUCAGGUGCCCAUCACACCAGAGCCACUUCCCAGGCCAUGGUGACUCAGGAAACUUCACUGUCCAUGAGCCCUAGAGGAACAGUCACAAUCACCUGUGGUUCCAGUACUAGGGCUGUUACCACCAGUAAUCAUGUGAGCUGGGUCCAACAGAAGCCCUACCAGGUACCCCAGGGUCUGAUAAGUAGCACUAGCAACCUAAACCCAGGGGUACCUGCCCGAUUCUCCAGCUCCCUGGUGAGACAGAAGGCUGCCCUCACCAUCACUGGGGCCCAGACAGAGGAUGAGGCCCAAUAUUACUGUGCUCUGUACAGCAACUAUGACACAGAGACAGAGGCAGAUGGAGAAGUGAGACACAAACCACCAGGCUCAGUCUCACCCUCUGCUCCCAAUAUCACCCAUCUUCUGAUCACAGAGGCUGCACCUAUCUACUGUGGGCCCAGGGAGUUUGAUCUCCAUGGUCCCAGAGGAAGCAGUCAAGUCCAUGUUGUAGGUUUCUAA